UACAGAGGUCUCAAGCGUUGUUCGGAUUCAUUGGGCGUAAAGGGUGCGUAGGUGGCGCGGUAAGUCGGGUGUGAAAUUUCGGAGCUUAACUCCGAAACUGCAUUUGAUACUGGCGUGCUUGAGGACUGGAGAGGAGACUGGAAUUCACGGUGUAGCAGUGAAAUGCGUAGAUAUCGUGAGGAAGACCAGUGGCGAAGGCGGGUCUCUGGGCAGUAACUGACGCUGAGGAGCGAAAAGCGUGGGGAGCGAACAGG
rnacentral:rRNA from 1 species